rnacentral:rRNA from 1 species
CCGUAAACACUCUUUGCUAGUUGUUCCUGAUUUCGAUCGGGAGUGACGUAAGCUAACGCGUUAAGCAAAGCGCCUGGGGAGUACAAUCGCAAGAUUAAAACUCAAAGGAAUUGGCGGGGGAGCGUACAACCGGUGGAGCAUGUGGUUUAAUUCGAUACAAAGCGAAGAACAUUACCUGGGUUUGACAUCUAGCUGCAACGCUUGGGAAACCAAGAAGUCUUCGAGAGUGCUAGACAGGUGAUGCAUGGCUGUCGUCAGCUCGUGUCGUGAGACGUCCGCUUAAGUGCGGUAACGAGCGCAACCCUUGUCGUAUGUUACACGUACCAUACGAGACUGCCCUGCUUAUGCAGGGAGGAAGGAGAGGAUGACGUCAAGUCAGCACGUCCCUUAUAUCCAGGGCUACACACAUCCUACAAUGGGAAAGACAACGGGUCGCGAUGCCGCAAGGCUGAGCCAAUCCUUAUAAACUUUCCCUCAGUUCAGAUUGGAGGCUGCAACUCGCCUCCAUGAAGCCGGAAUCGGUAGUAAUCGCAAAUCAGAAGGUUGCGGUGAAUACGUUCUCGCUCCUUGCACACACUGCCCGUCAAGCCAGCAAAGUCAGCAGCGCCCGAAGCGGGUGACCGUAACUCUACUUGUAGAAAGCGGCCCUACUACGGCGAGGUUUGCGAUGAGGACUAAGUCGUAACAAGGUAUCCGUACUGGAAGGUGCGGAUGGAUCACCUCCUUU